CCUACGGGAGGCAGCAGUGAGGAAUAUUGGUCAAUGGACGAGAGUCUGAACCAGCCAAGUAGCGUGAAGGAUGACUGCCCUAUGGGUUGUAAACUUCUUUUAUAUGGGACUAAAAUGUUACACGUGUGGGACUUUGUAUGUACCAUAUGAAUAAGGAUCGGCUAACUCCGUGCCAGCAGCCGCGGUAAUACGGAGGAUCCGAGCGUUAUCCGGAUUUAUGGGGUUUAAAGGGAGCGUAGGUGGAUUGUUAAGUCAGUUGUGAAAGUUUGCGGCUCAACCGUAAAAUGGCAGUUGACACUGGCAGCCUUGAGUACAGUAGAGGUGGGCGGAAUUCGUGGUGUAGCGGUGAAAUGCUUAGAUAUCACGAAGAACUCCGAUUGCGAAGGCAGUUCACUGGACUGCAACUGACACUGAGGCUCGAAAGUGUGGGUAUCAAACAGGAUUAGAUACCCCUGUAGUC
rnacentral:rRNA from 1 species